UGGGGUAUAGCUCAGUGGUAGAGUGUCUGCUUAGCAUGCAUGAGGCCCUGGGUUCAAUCCCCAGUACCACUA
rnacentral:tRNA from 1 species